rnacentral:rRNA from 1 species
AUGUUCUUGAUGGAUGCAGGCCCUGGUACCCCCAAAAUUUGUAUGCAAGAUGAGCUUACAGGACUGCCAAUCAAGCGAGACACUAGGUUUGAGAAUAAGGUGGGAUCCAAGAAUGUAGUGGCUGGUGAAUCACUGAUCAAAAAGUGGAUUUUUGAGAGAUUCUUCAUCGAUCUAGUGGCCGGUGAAUCACUGAUCAAAGAGCGAGCAGCCGCCAGGUUUAAUGAUUUUGUGGGAUCCCUGGAUGUAGCGGCUGGCGAACCGCUUCUUCUUCCACAAAGAUUUAGACAAAACCGAGCUUGGAUAGAACUGAAGAAGAUUUGGCAAACGAAGAAAAAGGUCAAAGGGUUUAUUAUAAAAAAAUCAAAGGAGGUUAUUUAG